rnacentral:rRNA from 1 species
AACGUAGGGGACAAGCGUUAUCCGGAUUUACUGGGCGUAAAGCGCCCGUAGGCGGCCUGACAAGUUGGACGUGAAAGCUCCUGGCUUAACUGGGAGAGGCCGUUCAAAACUGUCAAGCUAGAGUCUGGAAGAGGAGAGCGGAAUUCCCGGUGUAGCGGUGGAAUGCGUAGAGAUCCGGAAGAACACCGGUGGCGAAGGCGGCCUGCUGGGCAGUAGCUGACGCUGAGGCGCGACAGCGUGGGGAGCAAACAGG